rnacentral:rRNA from 1 species
AAAUUACCCAAUCCCGACACGGGGAGGUAGUGACAAUAAAUACUGAUACAGGGCUCUUUUGGGUCUUGUAAUUGGAAUGAGUACAAUUUAAACCUCUUAACGAGGAACAAUUGGAGGGCAAGUCUGGUGCCAGCAGCCGCGGUAAUUCCAGCUCCAAUAGCGUAUAUUAAAGUUGUUGCAGUUAAAAAGCUCGUAGUUGAACCUUUGGCCUGGCUGGCAGGUCCGCCUCACCGCGUGCACUUGUCCGGCCGGGCCUUCUCUUCUGGAGAACCGCAUGCCCUUCACUGGGUGUGCUGGGGACCAGGACUUUUACUUUGAAAAAAUUAGAGUGUUCAAAGCAGGCCUUUGCUCGAAUACGUUAGCAUGGAAUAAUAGAAUAGGACGUGCGGUCCUAUUUUGUUGGUUUCUAGGACCGCCGUAAUGAUUAAUAGGGACAGUCGGGGGCAUCAGUAUUCAAUUGUCAGAGGUGAAAUUCUUGGAUUUAUUGAAGACUAACUACUGCGAAAGCAUUUGCCAAGGAUGUUUUCAUUAAUCAGUGAACGAAAGUUAGGGGAUCGAAGACGAUCAGAUACCGUCGUAGUCUUAACCAUAAACUAUGCCGACUAGGGAUCGGGCGGUGUUUUUAUUUUGACCCGCUCGGC